UUAUUUGAAAUUUUUACACCAAAAAUCUGUUUUGCACAUUUUAUUACUGUUUUACUCCUACACGCCUACAUCAACAUUUUUACUUACCAUCUUUAUUUUAUUACAAUAAUACCACUUACACACCAUUCUCAUGCACAGACACAUGUGUCAUCCCCAUCACACAUCAAUCAACUUCCACUCUCUUCUUUCUCUUUUUUUCUUUUCUAUCACACAUCAAUCAACUUCCACUCUCUUCUUUCUCUUUUUUCCUUUUCUUUUCAUUUGAUUUUGGAUUUUCUUUCAGUUUUUUUUUUGUUUGGAAGAUCAAUAACCUCCAUUGUUGAAGCAUAACUACUCAUUAUUCAUCACGAUUUUUUCUCUCUCAUUUUUUGUUCUUCCAAAAAAUUUCAACUCUCACUCAACCCACGAUUUCUCAAGUUUUUUUCCCUCUCAGUUUAUUCUUGUUUCAAAUUUCUUUAUAAAAUGGUCAUCACUCGUUCAUCCUCAUCUCUUUCCCCAGUUCAGAAAAAAAAAUCGAAAAUGGGCUUGAAAUCUUUGGCUAACAAAGCAAAGGGUAAACGUCCGAUUGUUGAAGAGAAGAAAUCGAAGCUCAAUGUGGAGGAGCAAAUGGUUGAAGAAAUUUCUAGUGAAAAAGCUAGUGCCUCUGCCGAAGUUUGAACAGAGUUUUGAAACGAGCGCGUAUUUUCAUCUUCAUGGUUCGCUCUGUACAGCUGAAGGCUUAGUGCAUGUGGUAUUUUUGUAAAUAUUUGUAUGUGGACUGUAUAAAUGUUUAAUGGGCCGGCCCAAAGUAUUUUUGUAAUUUUUUUCCCUUUUUUGUAUUUUUUUGUUUUUUU